AUGAGAUGCUGUCAGCGAGCAGAAACAGAAUAAUGACGUGUCGCACAUGUGAAGUCUCUUAAUUUCUCUGCAGCUUCGAGGAACAACAUAAAACUGAUUUCUUAAUUCGAUAUGAAGCAAACAUCACACUUGUUGAAUCACCGGCUCCUCACAAGGUUUCAUCUGGAGACUGAUCUCAGAGUGUAUUCCCAAAACUGUGUUUGAUGGUAAUGAAUCCGGUGGAAGUUAGGACGUGUCUGGAAACUUCCCCGCCAGCUGUCGUCUGCAGCUAAUUAAAUCGGACUCGCUGAUUGGUGUUUUCAAACCGUGUUGUUUUUCUGUGCGGUCAGUAAAAGUGAUCUAACUGCUGCGAGUGAAGUCCUGGAGACCGGUCGGGAGACUGUUCAGCUGUUUUGCAUGAGAGCAAAGGAUCCACCAGGUGGCGCUGUUGGUCCAGUGUCGGCACAUGUUCUGUAUAAACACACACGCCGCUGCCCUCGAAACAUUUAGCUGGAGAGAGAAAUGUGUAGAGUGUGACACAAAGUCAGAUUGUGCCAUUUCCAUCAGCUAUGUGCCCAAUGAUGUGCAUAAAACACACUGUGUGUGUGUGUGUGUGUGUGUGUGUGUGUGUGUGUGUGUGUGUGUGUGUGUGUUGUUUCCUCGUUAGUUCAUUUCAAGUCUGGUAUUUGCUUUUGCAAUAGAUCGUGUGCAUGUGACGUCACGCUUACGUCCCAACCCGUAAGUCAGCCAUGUUGGAUGAUAUACACAACCAAGACUGCGGCCGUUCACGUGGGAGUUGCUGCAACGCUUCAUAAUUCUAAUAAUAAUGUAUGAUUGUGGUCAUAACGCUACUCGUGACCCAGAGAAACGCUUCUUUAGAUUUCCUACAAUCAUCCAAAACAACGAUCCACAAAAGAGGGAUGAGUUGCUGUCUACCCAACGCCGUCAGCUGGUUUAGCAACAUAACUCGUGAGGAUUCAACAGAAGAAGAAGCACAGUUCACCCGUGUGUGUGGCGUCCACUUUAUAUCCGGAGAAGCGGCAAAGCUUUAUGAUAAAACAAACCCAGAUUGGGCGCCAACACAAAAAUGAGGACACGAAAAGAUCAGGACGAAUGCUCAUCUCGCAGCAUCAAGAAGCAGCAGGACGAAGGAAAGAUCUGCCAAGAAAGCAAAAUCCGAAGCAGCCCAAGCCUCAGUGUCUUUGAAUACACUAGAUCUAGAAUGUGUAUCAACUUCGCCAGAUGUUUACAAUAUAUGUAUAUAAAGUCCCUAAGUUUAAAAGCAUGUGCUGAUUAAUAUAUUUAAUGAAAUUGUUAUUUUAGUUUUACUAAUACAUGUUUACUUUUUGUUGAACAGAUGUACCAGAUUCAAACAAUGAAAUUGUCACAGAUGAAAAGCUCCCAGAGACCAGAGAUCGUGAAUGCCCAACAGAUCUCACGUGGUUACAAAUAUCUGCAAUGGAGCAGUGCAAUCCAAACAUGACUUUCCAAUUGGUGGAACUGAAGAAUAAAUGAUUGGACGCAGAUUUAACUGAAGCCAGUUUUCAGAUUAAUGAAGAGAAAACUAAAUUGUACACUGGACGUGCACAUUUCAUGAUACUACAGCAAGUAAUGUCAAUAUGUGGUGGAUUAGUUUAUUCAGGCACGCUCAACUCUCUAACAAAGUUUCAAGAACUCCUCUUCGUACUCAUGCACCUACGCCUUAACAUGCCCUUUGAAGAUUUGAGUUAUAGAUUUUGAAUAUCUAGGUCUACAGCAUGCCGAGUAUUUGACAAAUGGUUCGAUGUGUUGA
ensembl:lncRNA